rnacentral:rRNA from 1 species
GACGAACGCUGGCGGCGUGCUUAACACAUGCAAGUCGAACGAACAGCGAUGGAAGCUUGCUUCUAUCAAUCUUAGUGGCGAACGGGUGAGUAACGCGUAAUCAACCUGCCCUUCAGAGGGGGACAACAGUUGGAAACGACUGCUAAUACCGCAUACGAUCUAAUCUCGGCAUCGAGGAUAGAUGAAAGGUGGCCUCUACAUGUAAGCUAUCACUGAAGGAGGGGAUUGCGUCUGAUUAGCUAGUUGGAGGGGUAACGGCCCACCAAGGCGAUGAUCAGUAGCCGGUCUGAGAGGAUGAACGGCCACAUUGGGACUGAGACACGGCCCAGACUCCUACGGGAGGCAGCAGUGGGGAAUCUUCCGCAAUGGACGAAAGUCUGACGGAGCAACGCCGCGUGAGUGAUGACGGCCUUCGGGUUGUAAAGCUCUGUUAAUCGGGACGAAAGGCCUUCUUGCGAAUAGUGAGAAGGAUUGACGGUACCGGAAUAGAAAGCCACGGCUAACUACGUG